rnacentral:rRNA from 1 species
GAUGAACGCUAGCUACAGGCUUAACACAUGCAAGUCGUGGGGCAUCAUGAUGUAGUAAUACAUUGAUGGCGACCGGCGCACGGGUGAGUAACGCGUAUCCAACCUACCCUCCACUCAAGUAUAGGCUUCCGAAAGGGAGAUUAAUCCUUGAUAUCGUCAUUCUCUCUCCUGUUAGAAUGAUAAAAGGACAUCGUUUCGGUAGAGGAUGGGGAUGCGUUCCAUUAGGUAGUAGGUGGUUUAACAGGCCACCUAGCCGAUGAUGGAUAGGGGUUCUGAGAGGAAUAUCCCCCACACUGGUACUGAGAUACGGACCAGACUCCUACGGGAGGCAGCAGUGAGGAAUAUUGGUCAAUGGGCGCAAGCCUGAACCAGCCAUGUAGCGUGAAGGAUGACGGUUUUUUUGAUUGUAAACUUCUUUUCUGUGC